rnacentral:misc_RNA from 1 species
GUAGCUGACUGAUUUUUAUUUUUUUAGUUUUGGUUGUUUUUCUGUCUUGUGUGAGUAAUGUUUUUUGAAUUCAAUUAUUUACUACUGAACCUAAUUAUUCUCUGAGUAGAUAAUGCUAUAAUGUCUUUACAAUAUGCGAUGCAAAGAAGUUUUUCAAAAAUAAGAUUUAAUUCUUUGUUACUUUUGGAUGAAAUGAUCGUCUUGCAACGAAGUUUGAAUUGUAAAAAUUAGAUUAUAUAAGGGAACUGUAUUCUCCUUAACUUCAAUUUUUUUUUCAAGGAAACAAACAAUGAGUGAAACUUUAGCUGAAGUGAAUGCCAGAUUCCUAAAUUUACCUUCUUUUACUUGCUGUGACUUGCAAUAAAAUUUCUGUGUUGCUGUUAUUGCUCCUAACAAAUUUGUCAACUGAAUCCUGCAUGCUAUGUCUUAAAUUAGCUCUUUAUCUUUAUUUUGUUUCUGUAAUGCUUCUGCUUCAGUCUUUAUUGUUUAUUCAUUGAUCCGUAAUUUCAUAUUGAAAAUAAUAUUUUGUAAUUGGAAGCUUUCAAAAAGCUUAUGGGCUAAGAGUUAAUGGAAAGUAGACUUCCACUGGACUUUGAGAAGAUUUGCUAAUUCUUAUUUCCUUAUAAUUUACAUUUGUUAACUAAUGGGGGAGCUCUUCUGGAAUUAUCUGAUUAAGAAU